AAAAAAAAUUACCCAGAAACUUAAAUGACAAUGUACGCAAAGAUCUAUCUUUUUUCUUUUAAGAGAUACAAAACAACAGCUUUUGUUAAACCCUCAAAACAAAAAUAUUAAAAAAAUCUAAAUUAUUAGAAGAUUUUCUUAUGAUAUUUUGCAUUUAUUCCUCUUCAAUUACACAACAUGCUGUUCAUGCAUAUCAAGACAUAAGGCUUGAAGCUUAAUAUUAAAUGGAAUCUAAAGCCACAUAACCAUAAAAUCUCUAAUCUGAUUACAUGAGUUGAAAGUAUUAACUACUGAAAACAAAGUAAUCAUUCUUUUGUUUAAAAUGAUAGGCCCAGGUUGUGUGGGAAUAUUAAAGACUGGAGUGGACAACAAUUCAAGAUAAAUAGUAUAACUAAAAUUAUGUUGGCGAGAAUUUCUCAAACAGUUGCUGGUGUAAUGU
rnacentral:misc_RNA from 1 species